rnacentral:rRNA from 1 species
AACGAACGCUGGCGGCAGGCCUAACACAUGCAAGUCGAGCGAGGACUUCGGUCCUAGCGGCGGACGGGUGAGUAACGCGUGGGAACGUGCCCUUUGCUACGGAAUAGCCCCGGGAAACUGGGAGUAAUACCGUAUGUGCCCGAGAGGGGAAAGAUUUAUCGGCAAAGGAUCGGCCCGCGUUGGAUUAGGUAGUUGGUGGGGGAAUGGCCUACCAAGCCGACGAUCCAUAGCUGGUUUGAGAGGAUGAUCAGCCACACUGGGACUGAGACACGGCCCAGACUCCCACGGGAGGCAGCAGUGGGGAAUCUUAGACAAUGGGCGCAAGCCUGAUCUAGCCAUGCCGCGUGAGCGAUGAAGGCCUUAGGGUUGUAAAGCUCUUUCCGUGGGGAAGAUAAUGACGGUACCCACAGAAGAAGCCCCGGCUAACUCCGUGCCAGCAGCCGCUGUAACAC